CCUACGGGGGGCAGCAGUGGGGAAUAUUGGACAAUGGGCGAAAGCCUGAUCCAGCCAUGCCGCGUGUGUGAAGAAGGUCUUCGGAUUGUAAAGCACUUUAAGUUGGGAGGAAGGGUUGUAGAUUAAUACUCUGCAAUUUUGACGUUACCGACAGAAUAAGCACCGGCUAACUCUGUGCCAGCAGCCGCGGUAAUACAGAGGGUGCAAGCGUUAAUCGGAAUUACUGGGCGUAAAGCGCGCGUAGGUGGUUAGUUAAGUUGGAUGUGAAAUCCCCGGGCUCAACCUGGGAACUGCAUUCAAAACUGACUGACUAGAGUAUGGUAGAGGGUGGUGGAAUUUCCUGUGUAGCGGUGAAAUGCGUAGAUAUAGGAAGGAACACCAGUGGCGAAGGCGACCACCUGGACUGAUACUGACACUGAGGUGCGAAAGCGUGGGGAGCAAACAGGAUUAGAUACCCGGUAGUC
rnacentral:rRNA from 1 species